UACAGAGACUGCAAGCGUUAUUCGGAUUCACUGGGCGUAAAGGGUGCGUAGGUGGUCAGGUAAGUCUGAUGUGAAAGCUCUGGGCUCAACCCAGAAAUGGCAUUGGAUACUAUCUGGCUAGAGGAAUGGAGGGGGGACUGGAAUACUCGGUGUAGCAGUGAAAUGCGUAGAUAUCGAGAGGAACACCAGUGGCGAAGGCGAGUCCCUGGACAACACCUGACACUGAGGCACGAAAGCUAGGGGAGCAAACAGG
rnacentral:rRNA from 1 species